rnacentral:rRNA from 1 species
GACGAACGCUGGCGGCGUGCUUAACACAUGCAAGUCGAACGGAGUUCCUUGGAUAGAGGCUUCGGCCAAUUGAAUUGGAACUUAGUGGCGGACUGGUGAGUAACGCGUGAGGAACCUGCCUUUCAGAGGGGGACAACAGUUGGAAACGACUGCUAAUACCGCAUGACACAUUCGGGCGGCAUCGCUUGAAUGUCAAAGAUUUUAUCGCUGAAAGAUGGCCUCGCGUCUGAUUAGCUAGUUGGUGAGGUAACGGCCCACCAAGGCGACGAUCAGUAGCCGGACUGAGAGGUUGACCGGCCACAUUGGGACUGAGAUACGGCCCAGACUCCUACGGGAGGCAGCAGUGGGGAAUAUUGGGCAAUGGACGCAAGUCUGACCCAGCAACGCCGCGUGAAGGAAGAAGGCUUUCGGGUUGUAAACUUCUUUUAAGUGGGAAGAGUAGAAGACGGUACCACUUGAAUAAGCCACGGCUAACUACGUGCCAGCCGCCGCGGUAAGAC